rnacentral:lncRNA from 1 species
AGGAACCAGGCUUGGGGAUAGAGAGCGAAAUCCUCCGAGGUUGCUCCCCUGAAGGGUGCUUGCCUUCUAGUAGGAGGAAUAAAACAAGCACAGCAAAGACGGGGGAAGAGAAAUGCGAAGGGAGAAAUGCAAAGAGCAAGAUCGUCCUGGGGAAGGGAAGGCUCAGGAGGAAAGAGACUCCAUGCGUGCAUUCCAGAAGGAAUGACCGAGUAUCGCCUUUGUGCGAGGUCCUCAGAAUGCAACCUUGGCCAAGUUCACUGCUUGGGGUUAAAUUAAACAGGUGCUCCCGUUUCCUCCUCGGUGGGAAAGCAGGUGAUAAUAAAACUUAUCACCCACUCAUCUCAGGGGAGUGCUGCGGAGAGCAACCAAUAUACAUACAGAAAUAAGUGUAAGGCACUCGGCGAGAACAAAGUGUGCUAGAAAUGCUAAACAAUAAUAAAUUCAGCCACCUCCUUCCCCACGAUAGUAAACAAUGUGUCUUUUUUUAAAAGCAGAUGUGGUUAACCAGAUGCUAACUUUGAGGCUGUCUAUAUAACCUCUAACAACAGGUGAUUAAACCUAAACUCUUGAUUUUCAAGCAUUCCUUCAUUAGAGAGUCUCCGAGUGACCCUGAUACCUCCAUCAAACCACGGCCUGGACUAGAAAGCAAUUAAUCAACAUGAAAAUUACUUUAUCAACCCGCCUCCAAUUCUUAGUAUCAAUGUGUGACUAAUAUCAGCAUCCAAACUACAGGCAGUCCCCACCCUCUCCCUAAGCUGUACUCUUUGUCACACCCCUGAGGUCCCUCUCUUGGCAGAAUGGUGCCAUAUAAAAUAUUCAGAUCCUAGGUAGGAUGUGUGCAGCCUACACGGAAAAGAAGGCUGUCAGACAGAAAAACUAAAAGAAAAAAAUAGCACUCCUAAAAUGACAAAGAUUGCAAAUCCAUUUCAAAGAAACACUUCUCUAAUUAUAUGUUCCAUGCAUAGCAAAUCUCUUAAUAAAUCCCACGACAAUCUCCGCUCCCCUAAAGAGCAGACCUGAUAGGUAAUAACUCCCCUCCUCGGUGGUAAAAUCCAAUUUUCACACCUGGUAAACGAAAUAACUCCACUGUGAACCAGGGUCGACUUGGGGUGAGCCGUUAACAGAAGGUUAGGG